rnacentral:rRNA from 1 species
UACGUAGGGUGCAAGCGUUGUCCGGAUUUAUUGGGCGUAAAGAGCUCGUAGGCGGUUUGCCAAGUCGGAAGUUAAAACAUCAGGCUCAACCUGGUGUCGCUUUCGAUACUGGUAUGACUGGAGUCUGGUAGGGGAUCACGGAAUUCCUGGUGUAGCGGUGAAAUGCGCAGAUAUCAGGAAGAACACCGAUGGCGAAGGCAGUGAUCUGGGCCAGUACUGACGCUGAGGAGCGAAAGCGUGGGGAGCGAACAGG